rnacentral:snRNA from 1 species
GUGCUCGCUUCCGCAGCACAUAUACUAAAAUUGGAAUGAUAGAGAUGAUUAGCAUGGCCCCUGUGCCAGGAUGACAUGCAAAUUUGUGAAACAUUCCAUUAAUUU